CGAUCGAAGAUAAAUCUGUUUUCUCUUAUCUCUUCUUCAAUCUUCUUUUUCUUUCCAUUUCUUUGUUUGUCUUCUCUUUCUUCUCUACGUCCUGUUCUUUGUCUGUGAGAGAUUUAUGAUAUGAGAGAAUCAUUUGUUGAAGCUAUCUAGUAAAUAAUGAAGAUGGCGUGAUUGUACUUUAUGGAGAAGAUCAAUUGAAAAUUGAUUUAGUUUCGAGAUAACCUGAGAAGAACGAGUUGAAGGUUUGCUGUUUCUUUGAAGAUUAAGUGAGGUUGAUGAUAAAAUCGAUCAUUUAAUGAUGGGUUUUGUUUAUUUAAGACAAGGGAGAAGAAUUAGCUGUUGAUUCAGGAAUUUUAGUGAAGAACUGAAGAGCUAGGGUUUCUAUGUUGAAUCUGAAGUUGGGUUCAUCUGAUUUUGAGACUAUUUGGAGUCGGAUAGGCAUGCUGUGUUGAUGAUUCAUGAAGGAUAGAAGGGGUGGUUGUUGAAUCAAAGUUCUGAAGUCGUCUUAAUGAUAAAUUGAGGAAUCAGGAUUUCUCAGAAGAUUGAAUAGGAGGUCGAUUAGUGAUGAAUAAGAUGAAAUUAGAGAUGGGUUGGACACGAAUUAGGUUAUGAAGUUGAAGAAUAUCAUGAGUUCGAUAAUUAGGGUUUGAAGUUUUGAAUCAGAGGUUGAAUUGAAACUGAUAAAGGACUCGGAUUUGAUUCUUGUGUUAAGAAGGUGAUGGGUUUAUUACUAAUGUUGGAUCAAACUCAGGAAGAAUGGAAAGGAUUUCUGUGAAUUUAAUUGUGAAUGGAAUUCUAUGAAUAAAGAUGUUUGGGUAAGUGAUCUGUAUUGGGGUUGAUAUGUUAUUGAUGUUGUUGAGACAGGUGGUGGUGUUGAUUGAGAGUAGGUAAUGUUAAAUUGGGUUGCAGUUGAAGUUGAAUUGAGGGGGAUGUAUUGGGCUAUAAUGAACUGAAUGAUAAUAGUGGAAUUGAGGAUAUUGAAUUUGAAGAACAUAAGAGUUUUUGAUGCUGUUUGGUUCCAAAUAGGUUCAAGUAUAUGAUGAAUUUUUAGGAUGUUAUUAUGGUGAGAAUGAGUUCUGCUGAGUGUUGAAGCAUUAAACUGAGAUGGGAAUUGAAUUGGAUUGAAGCAGUUCAUUUCUUAGCGGCAGUUGUGAGGAUUUUGGAGUUGCAAGUGUACCUCAGUGAGAAGAAUGGUCUUACAGCUGAGGGUGUUGUGUAUGGUGGUGGAUGAAUUUUAUUAUUAUUGUUGUUGUUGUUUAGAGUUGGAGUUGUAGUUGGCGUUUGCUGUGAAAGCUUGGAACUGCAAUUGCAGUUAGUCUAUUAACAACGAUCAAUUCAAAGGACGAACCAGUGGAUCGUGGAUCUCGAGGUAGGCGUGGCUUGUCAUCAAAAGAGGGACUUUCCAAGCAGCAACAAUUGGGAGUUGCAGGACCUUCUCUUCAGAAGAGGCAGAAGCUGUAGCUCUUCUCAGAGCUACUCGAUGGGUUGUUACAAACAACGUACAACACUUGGUGAUUGAAUGGGACAACCAGGAAACAAUCCAUUACCUACAAGGCAAGGCAUCAACAGUCCAAUGGCAAUGCAUAUCCAUCUUAGAAGAAGUUAAAUUACUAGCAUAGCAAAUAGUUUCUUUUUUAGGUUUUCAGUAUGUAGACAGGAGAGAAAAUAGGAUGACAGACUUAUUAGCAAAGAAGGGAAGAAGCACCAACAUUAAAACUUUUUGGAAUGCCCAAGCUCCUAGUUUUUUAAUUCCUAUAAUUGCUUUUGACGCUGUCAAAGCUCAUGAACUUUGUAAGGUAAAUGACAAUAUUUUUGUAAGUUUUCAAGUUGAUGCCAACCCUAGAGAUUCAGCCAUUGGAAGAUCUACUCAAUAAGAGUUGGUCUCUGAAGAGACUGAAUCCGCAGAUUAACAGAAGCCAGGAAUCUAA